rnacentral:rRNA from 1 species
GACGAACCGUGCGAACGUUGUUCGGAAUCACUGGGCUUAAAGGGCGCGUAGGCGGGCCACCUUGUCCGGGGUGAAAGCUUUCGGCUUAACCGGAAAAGGGCCUCGGAGACGGGUGGCCUCGAGGGAGGUAGGGGUCUGCGGAACUGCUGGUGGAGCGGCGAAAUGCGUUGAGAUCAGCAGGAACGCCGGUGGCGAAAGCGGCGGACUGGACCUCUUCUGACGCUGAGGCGCGAAAGCCAGGGGAGCAAACGGG